rnacentral:rRNA from 1 species
AUACGUAGGUGGCAAGCGUUAUCCGGAAUUAUUGGGCGUAAAGGGAGCGCAGGCGGUUUAUUAAGUUUAUGGUGAAAGUUCGGGGCUCCACCCCGUGAUGCCAUAGAAACUGGUAGACUUGAGUGCAGGAGAGGUUAGUGGAAUUCCAUGUGUAGCGGUAAAAUGCGUAGAUAUAUGGAGGAACACCAGUGGCGAAGGCGGCUAACUGGCCUGUAACUGACGCUGAGGCUCGAAAGCGUGGGGAGCAAAUAGGAUUAGAUACCCUAGUAGUCCACGCCGUAAACGAUGGAUACUAAGUGUUGGAGAAAUUCAGUGCUGUAGUUAACGCAAUAAGUAUCCCGCCUGGGGAGUAUGCGCGCAAGCGUAAAACUCAAAUGAAUUGACGGGG